rnacentral:piRNA from 1 species
UGUAAAAUGAGGAUGGUAACCCUGAAC